rnacentral:tRNA from 1 species
GGGAUUGUGGCUUAGUGGUAGAGCACCUGUCUAGCAUGUAUGAGGCACUGGGUUUGAUUCUCAGCACCA